CUGAAAUUUGUGCAAAUCCUUACCUUUAGAGGAAGGUGAAGUCGUAACAAGGUUUCCGUAGGUGAACCUGCGGAAGGAUCAUU
rnacentral:rRNA from 1 species